AGCAACAGUAUGAAAGUGUUCAGCCAUUACUGUUUCAAAUAUGUAAUCUUAAGGCUUCGUUCAAGGUCAUUGCUUAAUCCAAUAUAUUUUUUCAGUUUUGUCUCGUGGAUGGUUAAAAAUUGGAGAACAAGUGAUAAAGUGGAGGAGCCGCUGUCAAGAGAACCGGUUCAAAAGUUGACGUCGUCUAGUAUUGACCCUCUUUUGAAAAUUGAAAACAUUGCGACUUGUUUGUCCAGAAAGGAACCGUGCAACAAUUAAAUUGUUCAGAAGUGCAAUGCAAAUAAACAGAUUCCCCUGAUACGACAUAUAUUCUUUUCAUCGUAUGUAGAACAAUUUCUAAUUAGCUACUGAAAAAGUUUGUAAUUAGUUUUUUUUUUUCAAUU
rnacentral:lncRNA from 1 species